rnacentral:rRNA from 1 species
AUUGAACGCUGGCGGCAGGCCUAACACAUGCAAGUCGAGCGGAUGAAGGGAGCUUGCUCCUGGAUUCAGCGGCGGACGGGUGAGUAAUUCCUAGGAAUCUGCCUUGUCGUGGGGGAUAACGUCCGUAAACGGGCGCUAAUACCGCAUACGUCCUGAUGUAGAAAGUGGGGGAUCUUCGGACCUCACGCUAUCAGAUGAGCCUAGGUCGGAUUAGCUAGUUGGUGUGGUAAAGGCCUACCAAGGCGACGAUCCGUAACUGGUCUGAGAGGAUGAUCAGUCACACUGGAACUGAGACACGGUCCAGACUCCUACGGGAGGCAGCAGUAGGGAAUAUUGGACAAUGGGCGAAAGCCUGAUCCAGCCAUGCCGCGUGUGUGAAGAAGGUCUUCGGAUUGUAAAGCACUUUAAGUUGGGAGGAAGGGCAGUAAGUUAAUACCUUGCUGUUUUGACGGUACCAAAAGAAUAAGCACCGGCUAACUUCGUG